rnacentral:lncRNA from 1 species
GGGACAUUGCCAUGGGGAGGUCAGAGGAGUCAGCUCUGCAGUGAUAAAUGAAAUAUCAACAUUUUAACUGCUGUGUUUGUUUGUGUAAUGGCUAUGUGCAUGGAGCAGGCACACCCUGCAAUCAGAGCCCCAGCUGACAGGGAACAAAAGAGCUCUGGCAGUUUUAGAAGGUGUGCACACAGCGGUGGAUCCCUCCUUUCAAACCAAAUUCACAGAAGCACGGACCUAGUCCAUGCUGUCUCACAGAGAUAUUACCCCUUUUCUUCACAUGAAGAAGGGACAAAUUCUUCAACAUCUAUCAGAGCUCUCAGAUAUAUUUGACUCAUGAGGCAAAAGCAGAUCUGUGCCAAAGCCUUCCUCCCUCCCAGCCAAAGCAUCUCUUUGUUGCAGAAGACCGACUUCUCACUGAACGUGUCUGCACAGCCUGGUCAGGGAGAAAGCCAUGAAGGAUCUCCUCUCUCUUCGCUCUCCUCCUGGCUGCUGUGCUUGCCUGAAGUCAUUUUCUGCUCAUAUUCUGGAGGUGGCACAGAGACUUGUCCUGUGUUCUCGUCUUCCGAUGAAUCUGCACAUUUUGAAGAAGGCUAUGCUGCUCAAGUCUGUCAUCACUUGUUGACGUAACUUUUUAAUUAACAACUGACAAGAUGAAGAUAUCUGACUAUGCAGUUGUCAGUAAUUGAUUUAUAUGAAGUUACUUGAAAGAUUUCUUUAUGAAUGGAGGUUCUUUAUUUCUCAACCAAAGGAGAACGUGCAAGCCACUGACAUGUUCUCAGAACUUUUGAAGGCAUUAGUCAUGAUGGAGUGUGAGGAUUCAUUUGAAGUGCUCAUGAAAUUUGGCACAAAUGGUUCCAUCUUAAAAUUAGUCAGGUGGAUUUAUACUUUCCCCAGGCAACUAGUCAGAGUAAUAUUGUAUAACUAUUUUGGAGGUAAAAGUAACAGGCAAUGGCCAUAGUUUUAUCUGUUCUUCACUGCUGCAGCUAAAUCCUUUUUCUCAGCCUUGGGGACACAAACUGAGACAUGGAGCAGAACUUUGACAUCAUCCUAUUGUCUGUCAAAUCAGAUGACUCGUAGCAUUGUUGUCAGAACAAAGUGUUGGGAUCAGCAAAUGAUUUAUGACAUGAUCCAGUUAAUGAUCUUCGAGGAGUCUCUGCAAAGUGAGGUCAGUCAAUGGCAUUUUUAAGUAACCAUCACCUUUCUCGCCUCCAGCAGUAGCUGCUUGUAUUUGCCUUCAUUUCUUCUAUUAAAAUUGCCCACACAAUGGUGUUGGAAG